AACGCGAAGAACCUUACCUGGGCUCGAACGGCUUCUCAACGGCGGUGGAAACACCGCUACUCCGCAAGGGGGUGGAGUCGAGGUGGUGCAUGGCUGUCGUCAGCUCGUGUCGUGAGAUGUUGGGUUAAGUCCCGCAACGAGCGCAACCCUUGUCCUAUGUUGCCAGCGGGUAAUGCCGGGGACUCGUAGGAGACUGCCGGGGUCAACUCGGAGGAAGGUGGGGACGACGUCAAGUCAUCAUGCCCCUUACGUCCAGGGCUGCACACAUGCUACAAUGGCUGGUACAACGGGCUGCUAAUCCGCGAGGAGGAGCCAAUCCCAAAAGCCAGUCUCAGUUCGGAUUGGAGUCUGCAACUCGACUCCAUGAAGUCGGAGUCGCUAGUAAUCCCGGAUCAGCAACGCCGGGGUGAAUACGUUCCCGGGCCUUGUACACACCGGAGUA
rnacentral:rRNA from 1 species